AAAUCGCUGCUCUGCCGCGCGCCUACGCAAGGAAAGAUUCAAGGGUCCCUCCACUUCAGGGAGUGGAGCCCGCGCCUCGGCACGGAUCAGCUGUGCGUCUCCUUUGGCCUACUGGCUCCUCUGCUUGUGUCUAUAGCUAGCUGGACGCAUCGUGACUUUAUCUUCUCAUCUUUCCUGGCGCCCCCAGACGCAUUUCCUGGUCCCUCGAGGCAGCGGCGUCUGGGGAGUGCACUUUGCACAGACAGGGAAACCGAGGCACUCAGCGGUCUCCAAUGGAGACGCUGUAAUCGCAUUCCACGACCAGCUAGCGCUAUAAGCGCUGCCUCUAAAGCGGAAGGCCUCCCAGUCCUUCUCGACAGGAAGCAAUAUUUGCAUAUCUAAGGAGAACAAGAUUCGGCAAUGUGCUCCGGGAGCAAGUGCAGGCAUGGAACGGUAUGGGCUGGAGGGGGACAGACCUUCAGAGGCGGCUGCCCGUUCCCUGUAGUGUCACAUAAGAUUUUUAGAAGAUAGGAGUUUUCACAGUGGCGGCAGAGCCCUCUGCUAAAUCCUCAUAUUAGAUGUCAAAGGUGGCAUGUCAUUUGACCCAAUGGCUUUUUUAGUCAUUUAUCUUCCUAACACCUAUGAGAGGGCUACAGUUACCAAAAUGGCAUGGUACUGGUACAUAAACAGACACACAGACCAAUGGAACAGAAUAGAGAACCCAGAAAUAAGACUGCACACCUACAACUGUCUGAUCUGUGACAAACCUGAUGAAAACAAGCAAUGGGAAAAGGUUCCCUAUUCAACAAAUGGUGCUGGGAUAACUGGAUACUCAUAUACAAAAGACUGAAACUGGACUUUUUCCUUAACCAUAUACAAAAAUUAACUCAAAGUGGAUUAAGGACUUAAAUGUAAAACCCAAAACUGUAAAAGCCUGGAAGACAACCUAGGCAAUACCAUUCAGGACAUAGACACAGACAAAGAUUUCGUGACAAAAAUGCCAAAAGCAAUUGCAACAAAAGCAAAAAUUGACAAAUGGAACCUAAUUAAACUACAGAGCUUCUGCACAGCAAAAGAAAUUAUCAACAGAGUAAACAGAUAACCUACAGAAUGGGAGAAAUUUUUUGCAAACAGUGCAUCGACAAAGAUCUAAUAUCUAGCAUCUAUAAAGAACUUAAACAAAGUUGCAAGAAAAAAAAAUCACCCCAUUAAAAACUGGGCAAAGGACAGGACAUGAACAGACACUUUUCAAAAGAAGACAUACAUUUGGCCAACAAUUAUAUGAAAAAAGCUCAACGUCACUGAUCAUUAGAGAAACUCAAAUCAAACCACAAUGAGAUACUGUCUCAUACCAGUCAGAAUGGCUAAUAUGAAAACGUCCAAAAAUGACAGAUGCUGGUGAGGUUGUGGAGAAAGGGAACACUUUACACGGUUGGUGAGAGUGUAAAUUAGUUCAGCCAUUGUGGAAGACAGUGUGGUGAUUCUUCAAAGACCUAAAGACAGAAAUACCAUUCCAUUCAGCAAUCCCAUUACUGGGUAAUAUACCCAAAGGAAUAUAAAUCAUUCUGUCAUAAAGAUGCAUGUGUGUAUGUUUACUGCAGCACUAUUCACAAUAGCAAAGACAUGGAAUUAACCUAACAUCAAUGGUAGACUGGAUGAAGAAAAUGUGGUACAUAUACAUUGUGGAGUACUAUGCAGCCAUAAAAAAGAACAAGAUCAUUUACUUUGCAGGGGCUUCAAUGGAGCUGGAGGCCAUAUCCUUAGCAGCUAAUGCAGCAACAGAAAACCAAAUAUUGCAUGUUCUCACUUAUAAGUGAGAGUCAAAUGAUGAGAACACAUAUAGGGAAACAACACACACUGAGGCCUAUUUGAGGGUAGAGGGUGGAAGGAGGGAGAGGAUCAGGAAAAAUAACUAAUGGGUACUGGGCUUAAAUACCUGGGUGAUGAAAUAAUCUGUACAACAAACCCCCAUGACACGAGUUUACCUAUGUAACAAACCUGCACAUGUACCCUUGAACUUAAAAUAAAAAUUUAAAAAAAGAAAAUAGGUUGCUUGACUCUGCACCUUUCCUUCUCUGCUUCUCACUUCCCAACUGUUCUAAUUUCAUAUGGGAAUCCAUGCAGUUAUGGAGAAUCCACCUUCAGCAAUGGGAAUGAACCUAGCACCACAUGACCUGGGCUGGAUCAAUCAUCACAUACUAUCCCCUGACCCAGUGAUUGGUUCAGGGAUGGACAUGUGACCUAAGAGAGUGUGGUUAGAGUAAACCUCAGGACUUCUGCUGAUAACAUUGGCAAAAAGAUUUUUUUUUUAAAUGAAUGAGGGCAUGUAGCCUCACAGAACAGCUGGAAGCCAUUUUGCAACCACAGAGAUCUGCCAAAGUCUCCCUAAGAUGAAGAAACACUGAGAUAGCAGAGCCAGGAAAUGGUGAAGGGAAUGUUGGUCCCUGGUCAAGUUGUUUGAGCUAGCCCUGAAGUUUUUCAAAUCUCUGUGGGCUUUUCAAUUGCAUGAGCUAGUAAUUUCCCUUUAUUACUUAAGCCAAUGUGAACCAGCUUUUCUGUUACUUAGAACCAAAAACAUUCUGCUACAUCAUUGAUACACGUCAAACACCCCCUUCCUUUUACAGAAGAAAAGACUAAAUCUCAUGGAUGCUACGUGGCUAGUUAGGAGGAAUUGCCUUCCCAGUUCCAGGCCUUUCUCCUUUUACUACUCUAGCCACUUGUGAUGGGUUUGGUAACAAUGAGUAAAAUGUGCAUUCUCCUUAUUUCUAACCACGGAUUGGAUAUGUUCAGAAAUAUUAAAACUGAUUUUCCUCAAGUGUAUCUUCUGGCAAUUAAUGUCAUUGCUUUAUAGCCACUCUGUACUACGGGCCCUUGUGAUUCAUUAGAAAAAACAAAGGAUCAAAUAGUUAGAGAAGGUAUAAGGACCUUGUUUAAAAUUUUAUUUAAUUUGCAGCUAAUUUACCAGCAACUUAGGCUCAACCACGUAUGCUGCUUUGCUAGUUUCUUCAAAACUUGUCAUGCACUUUCAUUUCUUGGUAAUCAUCCCUCAUUACCAUUUCUUAUCUUUCAAAAACACAGCCUCACCACACUGUAUUCUUACCUUUGGUGCCUCCCUCUACAGCUAGAAUUUCCAGAUUCUGUGGGCUCUUCCUCUGUAAACUCUAAAAAUCCUUCCAUUUUUAUCUAUACAUACUAUUUCCCCCACUCUAACAGAUCUUACCUAUCACCAACCCUAAAAUUACCUAACAAAAUGCUCAUCACAUCUUCAAGGAAAUGUCCCACAGUGAGAGAAAAGAGAAAGGAACCUGUGUUUAUUGUGCUAGGAAGAUACUAGAUACUUUACAGACAUUAACUCAUUUAAUUUUCAUGACCACACCAUGGUAAGUAGGUAGUAGUAUCUCAGUCUAAAAAUAAGGAAACUGAGGUUGGGUGAGUCAUAGGGUUGAAUUCCAAACCUAGGUGUGUGCAGUUCUAAAGAUACUUUCUUCCACUGCUUCUGUUGGACAAUAGAUUUUGCCCCUUUUGUACCAGCUCCAAAGGAUAGUGACCGCCUGGAUCUCGUGUUGAGAAGACUGAAGCCUCAUCCAGGUUGACAGGGAAAGACAAAAGGAUGUCUUGCCAAAGCUUGCCAAGGGGGAAAGUGGCAAUCCACACACCACUUAUUUCACAUUUCUUCAGGCCUGUGCCUGGGGCAGUUCUAGAGGUUUCCCAGGAGAAGGACAGGUGCACCAGGGAGUCUGGCUAUAAAGUUUGUACACUAGAAUCUGUUGGCAGAUUCUGUUGCUUAAAGUUGAGUUUGCAUUCAUACUUUAUAUCUGAAGAAAUGGGAAGUUAGGGAGUUAACCACUGUCUAUUGGGAAGUGAUUCAUGAAUCAGAACAGGUGAGAAUGUCAGGCUCUGAAAUGAACAGCACACUUCUGUAUGGAAUGUACUGGGGCAGCAUACCUGCCUUCUUUCUCAGAUCAAUGUUGACACACUUAAAUUUGUGAAUAAGGCCUUCCAGGAUAUCUUGUUUAGGAAGAACCAGUUCACUUGCUAGUAUCUAGGCUUUCUAGGUAUCACGAGGGCUUUCUGUCAAAGCAUAAACAAGCAGUGAGAAAUCAUCAGUGUUCUCUCUCUGAAGAGAGAGACACCAGGAAAGGAGAGAGGGUAGCAAGUUAGCAGGCAUGGAAAGCUGCUGCUUUGCAGAUGUGUUCAUCAGGCAUAAUCCUUAGCUGGAUGUUAGACAGUACCAGAAGUUGCAUGGUGACUUGUCUGAUGGUUGCAAAGAUAUUGGUCCUCAUGUGGGAUUAUUCAAGAUAUUCAGAAGGGAAGAAGCUGAAUCUGGUUACAAAAGGUGUUCCUUAAAUACGUAAUGAAUGAAUGAAUAAACAGUUCAAUGGAAAUUGGGGCAAAUUAAGGAUUCAGUAGAUGUGAGGUGUAUUUGUCUCAUGUCCUCAUCUGAUGAACAUCUACCAUAUUCAGUUGUCUAGUGAGGACUCUUUUAGUGUAGAAACCAAGGAGGCACAUUUGGGGUUCAUUUAGAGAUGGGGUAUUUGGGGCUGGGGGGAAGCCAGCAUAUGAAUGAUGGGCUUCACCAGGAGACAAAGGGCAUCUGUCUAAGGGAUGGAUGCUGAGGGUGGACCUGGCAGGCUGAGCAGGUGAAACUCUUCCAUUGGAGCAGACUGUGGGUUUAUUUGAGCUUAAGAAAAGGAGGUCAUUCCCAAGAAUGAAUAGCAGUGGAUUUGUAGACUUUGAAAUUAACAGAUCAAAGACACCAGAUCUCUGUAGAGAACUUAAUAUGAUCUCUAGAUUCUGAAGCUCCAAUUCUCAGCCCUGGCUGCACCCUAGAAUCACCUGGGAGCUUUUCAACCCUACCACUGCCAGGGUUUCUCCCCCAGAGCUUUGGAUUCAGGCAGUUCAGAGUGAGGCCCUGGAAUCAGUAUUUUCAAAAAGACCUCCAAGUGGCUCUGAGAAUAUCACUGCAGUUGAGACUGUCCACUCUAGACAUAACUCAAAGCAGGCAAAUUUUCAGGAUUCCAUGGCUAGACUAUGACAUUUCCAACAACCUCAAGAGAGACAUUUUAGGAUUAUUCAUUCAUACUGUGUGCAUCCUUGGUUUCUCACUAGCCCCUGUUCUUAAGGCCUGGCAGAUUCCCAGGUGACUUCUAUCCAUGAGAGUGUCCCAAGAAGGGCCACUGGGAAACACACUUAUAGAGAGUUUGGAUUAUGAUCCCAAAAGACACAUUCCUGAAUGCCAUCAUCCCCGAGGUUGAAAUCCUGAAAGAUCAAAAUUUCUAAAGACUAAAUCCUUAACAUCUAAAAUCCUGAAAAUCACAAUCAUAGGAUAGUUGCAUCAUGUUAGGUGAAACUGUUACCUUGUUGUGGUCUUUAUUUGGAAAUUAAGUAUGGUUUAAGGAGAUGCAUAUAGUGCCAAGUUGACAGGGAUGGAUUUAUUGACUUAAUUUGAGAUGUCAACUUGACUGAUUAAGGAAUGCCUGAAACCCUGGUAAAGCAUUAUUUUGGGUGUGUGUGAGGGUGUUUCCAGAGGACUGAGUAGACUCGGUGAGGAAGAUCUGCCCUUGAUAUUGGUGGACACCAUUCAAUUGGCCAACAAUCUGGAGAUAACAAAUAUAGAAGGCCAACUGGUCUCUCUCUGAGAGCUGGGACAGACUUUUCUUCUGCUGCCUUGGACAUCAGAACUCCAGGCUCACCAGCCUUUGCACUCCAGUACUUAACAGCAGCGGCCAUCUGGGUCCUGAGGCUUUUGGCCUCAGAGAGUAACACCAUUGUCUGCUGUGGUUCUCAAUAUAAAAACAUUGAAACUUCCUCAAUAAAUGAACAGAUUUCCUUUUUGUGUAUCUGCAUUUGUGAAAGACCAAAAUUUCUUGAGAUCUUGCCUUUUUGGGCCACUGCAUAUGCAGUGGUGACCUAUAGAGGUUUUUGAUUGAUCUUGUCAAAAGACAGGUUGUCCAUCACAGUAUUUCGGAUGACUGGAGUUAUAAAGCUAGGUACACACAACUACCAACCAUCAUGAUACAUGUUUAUACACUUUGUUUUUGGCAUAUUGCCUUAUGAAUACAGUUCAUCUGCUUGUAAUUGUUGUAAUCAUGUGACUGUUGUUAGAAUAGCUGAGUGCUUAUGUUUGCAAAGAUAUAUAUGUUAUUAUUGCCAAUUUUAUUGUGUAAAUUGGCCUCUGAAGUGCUCUGUCAGUUUUUAUAUGGUUCUCAAAUAAAUCUCCCUUAAAAAUGUAAA
rnacentral:lncRNA from 1 species